GACGAACGCUGGCGGCGUGCCUAACACAUGCAAGUCGAACGGAAAGGCCCUGCUUUUGUGGGGUGCUCGAGUGGCGAACGGGUGAGUAACACGUGAGUAACCUGCCCUUGACUUUGGGAUAACUUCAGGAAACUGGGGCUAAUACCGGAUAGCAGCUCCUGCUGCAUGGUGGGGGUUGGAAAGUUUCGGCGGUUGGGGAUGGACUCGCGGCUUACCAGCUUGUUGGUGGGGUAGUGGCUUACCAAGGCUUUGACGGGUAGCCGGCCUGAGAGGGUGACCGGCGACAUUGGGACUGAGGUACGGCCCAGACUCCUACGGGAGGCAGCAGUGGGGAAUAUGGCACAAUGGGCGGGAGCCUGAGGCGGCAACGCCGCGUGCGUGAAGACGGCCUUCGGGUUGUAAACCGCUUUCGCCUGUGACGAAGCGGGAGUGACGGUAAUGGGUAAAGAAGCACCGGCUAACUACGUG
rnacentral:rRNA from 1 species